UGGGAACCUGCCUUGGAGUGGGGGAUAACCACUGGAAACGGUGGCUAAUACCGCAUAUGCCCUGAGGGGCAAAGGCUUCGGCCGCUCUUAGAUGGGCCCGCGUACGAUUAGCUAGUUGGUGAGGUAAUGGCUCACCAAGGCGACGAUCGUUAGCUGGUCUGAGAGGAUGAACAGCCACACUGGGACUGAGACACGGCCCAGACUCCUACGGGAGGCAG
rnacentral:rRNA from 1 species